rnacentral:rRNA from 1 species
AUUGAACGCUGGCGGCAUGCCUUACACAUGCAAGUCGAACGGCAGCGGACCUUCGGGUGCCGGCGAGUGGCGAACGGGUGAGUAAUAUAUCGGAACGUACCUUUCAGGGGGGGAUAACGUAGCGAAAGUUACGCUAAUACCGCAUAUUCUGUGAGCAGGAAAGCAGGGGAUCGCAAGACCUUGCGCUGAUUGAGCGGCCGAUAUCAGAUUAGCUAGUUGGUGAGGUAAAGGCUCACCAAGGCGACGAUCUGUAGCGGGUCUGAGAGGAUGAUCCGCCACACUGGAACUGAGACACGGUCCAGACUCCUACGGGAGGCAGCAGUGGGGAAUUUUGGACAAUGGGCGCAAGCCUGAUCCAGCCAUGCCGCGUGAGUGAAGAAGGCCUU